rnacentral:rRNA from 1 species
UACGUAGGGUGCGAGCGUUAAUCGGAAUUACUGGGCGUAAAGCGUGCGCAGGCGGUUGUGCAAGACCGAUGUGAAAGCCCCGGGCUCAACCUGGGAACGGCAUUGGUGACUGCACGGCUAGAGUGUGUCAGAGGGGGGUAGAAUUCCACGUGUAGCAGUGAAAUGCGUAGAGAUGUGGAGGAACACCGAUGGCGAAGGCAGCCCCCUGGGUCAAAACUGACGCUCAUGCACGAAAGCGUGGGGAGCAAACAGG